UUUGCACAGUACUAUACAGUCUGUGUACACCACGUUUUCCAUUUUAAUAUUUGCCCUUAUCAUCAAUGACCCGUCUCUAAUUUUAAUCAUGUCCGAGUUUAGACGGUUCAGACUGUGACAUAGUCAUGAGCUAGGGGCAGGGCUAAUUUGUUUGGACGAGCUGUCAAAACACAUUAUCGUUCUCUUCUAUCUGACACUAACCCAGUCUCGAACACAAGUUAAAAAACUGUGAAAACGGCAUUCUACCUGUUUGCAGUGAUUCCUUUGUAUAUUUCAGUAAUAGGCUUUGGCUAUUUAUCAUCUAUAUCAUAAAUAGACUGAACAAUUUGCUUGCAGUAUCUAAAAGGCAUACAGAAAUAUUUUUGUAUAUGCUCCAAUUUUCAAUUUAUCUAAGUGUUCAAUCGACCACACAGUUCGCUGUGUUGUGCGUAUGUAAUAACUGACUGUUCCUAACCAGAAAUGAGUAGAAAGGGACCACCAUAGGACCAACAUGGAGCAGAUGUUACAGUAUUAGCAUGGUGAAUUGUUCUUAGCACAGCAAAGACAUAGAAAUGGAAUGGUAGGAAUGGUGUGUGUGUUGUGUGCAUGAGUAUAUCAAGAGCAGCAGUGUUACAGGGAUUUUUACAUUUAGUGUCCACUUAUCCACACACCACCACCAUGUCAGUGUCAAUGUUGUGUUAAGGAUAGUCCCUUAUAACCCAAAUAUCCGGUCAGCAGCAGAAGUGUUCCUGUGGUGAAUACUCUCCACUGAUGGAUGGAGUAGAUGUAGCUGACAAAAUAUACAGAGCAAUAGAUGUGCUAUAUUUGGUAAAAGCACACCAAUUUAGCCUUCAAGAUGAGAGACCCUAUUAGUAAGAUGGUACUAGAAUAGUAUAAUUUUUUUCUUUUUAAUUAUUAAUUGAAAUUAUUUUGUAUGACAAACUUUGUCAUAUUGUCCAAGUGAAUUUUGAGACUCAGUCCACAAGAGAACCUAAUCUCUCCCUCCUUUUCUGAUCCCCUUCGUGGCUUCCCCUUGUCGUGUGAGAGCGUAAAUGACAUGCAUCUGAGGCCGCCUUCUCUGCAGCCUUCUCGGUUUUCGUUUCUGGGAAAGCCAGCCCCAUCUCGUUGGGCUCUGAACCCCCAUUACCCCCUCGUUUGCUGACUUAAUCAGGAUUCAGCCGCGGCGUCCAGAGACCGCACGAGCCUCAAUAGAAACCAUGCCGCACAGCUUCCUUGUCCAAGGUGCAGAUUCACGUUUUCGAACACUGAAUUACAAUUCCAGGCCUGUUGAGUUAUGUUCUCGAGACUGUCCCAAGGGACCCGUGGUAUGGAGAUAUGAGAGAAACUGCCUGGAUUUGUCUGAACCACUAACCGCAUUAGCCACAGGCCUUUGACAAGUCAUUCUACCAAAGAAUGUUUAAAGAAGAAUACAGUUAAUGUUUGGGAAUGGCCAAGUCAAAGUCCUGACCUUAAUCCAGUAGAAAUGUUGUGGAAGGACCUGAAGCAAACAGUUCAUGUGAGGAAACCCACCAACACCCCAGAAUUGAAGCUGUUCUGUACUGAGGAAGGGCUAAAAUUCCUCCAAGUCGGUUUGCAGGACUGAUCAACAGUUACCGGUAACACACUAUGCCAAAAUUGAAAGAAAUUCCAGAAAUUAUGAGGAAGAAGGUGAUUGAAAUACAUCAGUCUGGGAAGGGUUAGAGAGCUAUUUCAAACACUCUGGGACUCCAAAGGACCACAGUGAGAGCCAUUAUCUCCAAAUGGAAAAUCUCGGCACAGUAGUGAACCUUCCCAGAAGUAGAUGACCUUCCAAAAUUCCUCCAAGAGCACAGCAACGACUCAUCCUGCAAGUCACUAAAGAUCCAAGGACAACAUCAAAAGGACCUACAGACCUCUCUUGCGUCAGCAAAGGUCACUGUUCAUGACUCCACUAUCAGAAAGACACUGGGCAAAAAUGGCAUCCAUGGAAGAGUGGUGAGGUGAAAACCACUGUUAACCCAGAAGAUCAUUAAGGCUCGUCUGAAUUUUGCCAAAACACACCUUGAUGAUCCUCAAACCUUUUGGGAGAAUGUUCUGUGGACUGAAGAGUAGAAACUGGAACUGUUUGGAAGAAAGUGGUCCCGUUACAUGUGACGUAAACCAAACACAGAAUUCUACAAAAAGAUCAUCUUACCUACGGUCAAGCAUGGUGAUGGCAGUGUGAUGGUGUGGGGAUACUUUGCUGCUUCAGGGUCUGGGCAACUUGCAUGAAUUGAGGGAAAUGUGAAUUCUCCUUUCUACCAGAAAAUCCUAAAGGAGAAUGUCUGCUCCUCAGUCUAUAAGUUGAAACUCAAGUGCAACUGGAUUAUGCAGCAAGACAAUGAUCCAAAGCAUUAGAGUAAGUCCUAGUAGUAAGUGAAAGACUGAUCUGCAGUUAUCAGGAGUGUUUGGCUGCAGUUAUUGCUGCUAAAGCUGGCACAACCAGUUUAAGAUUAAAAGGGCAAUUAGAUUUUCACAUGGGUGAUAGGUCUUGGAUAACUUUUUUAAUAAUAAAAACUGCAUUAUGUGUUCAUUCAGGUUGCCUUUGUUUAUGUUGUAUUUCAUUUAAGAUCUAAAACUAUUUAGUAUGAGAUAUACACAAAAACAGAAGAAAUCAGGAUGGGACAAAUACCGUCAUGUCCAGAAAGCUUAUUUUACACUAUACAACACAUCACCUGGACUAUUUCCAUCAGUCUCGCUGAUCCUGUGUCCACUUUAGCCUCAGAUUCCUGUUCUUGGCAGACCAUCUACCUCAAGGUUCGAUGUGUUGAGUGUUCUGAGAUGCUUUUCUGUUUACCACAGCUGUAGAGUGCUUAUUUCAGUGCUUAUACUCGAAACAGUAUGCCAAUUCUCCUCUGACUUCUUACAUCAACAAGGUUCUUGUUGUUUUUCCACACUAUUCUGUGUAAACUCUAAUGACUGUGGAGCGUGCAAAUCCCAUUAGAUCAGCACUUUUUGAAAUAUUCAAACCAGACCAUUUAGCACCACCAACCACGACAUGGUCAAAAUGACUAAAACGCUGAAUCAGUUUCAUAUUCAUUUUUUUGUUUGUUUUUUUUGUUUUUAUGUGAACAUUGGCAGAAGCUCUUAAGCUGUGUUUGCAGGAUUUUUGGCACUGCACGGCUGCCACAUGGUUCAAUGACUGGAUAAUUGCAUGAAAGCAGGUGUCUAGCUGUUCCUAUUAAAGUGGCUGGUGAGCGUAUGUAUAAAUGCAAA